rnacentral:lncRNA from 1 species
UAAGUUUGUGGAAUUCGUGGUGGCAGCAAUAGGAAAGUGCCACAGUCUCCUUCGUGGGGUUUCUCCUUCAUUAGACACAGUUUCUGAUUCAGUGUCUCCGAGAAGCUCUCCUUGACCAUUGAAGCAAGAAGUGACCACUUUCCUUUCUUUUCAUCUCCCAGCAGCACUGUGUGGGACUUCUCUCUUGGUGAGAAAUGGUCUGGCGUCCUGGGUAUUUGCAGACGGGUCCUAAUUCUCCUGUUAGACUUCUAGCUCCUCGAGGAAAAGGUUGCCAACCCUCACC